rnacentral:rRNA from 1 species
GUCUGGUUAAUUCCGAUAACGAACGAGACUCUGGCUUGCUAAAUAGUUGCGCCACCCGCCGCGGUGCGCGUCAACUUCUUAGAGGGACAAGUGGCGUAUAGCCACGCGAGAUUGAGCAAUAACAGGUCUGUGAUGCCCUUAGAUGUUCGGGGCCGCACGCGCGCUACACUGGCGGAAUCAGCGGGUCCUAUUCCCUUGGCCGGAAGGUCUGGGUAAUCCGCUGAACCUCCUCCGUGAUGGGGAUAGNNNNUUGCAAUUAUUUCCCUUGAACGAGGAAUUCCCAGUAAGCGCGAGUCAUCAGCUCGCGU